rnacentral:rRNA from 1 species
AGAGCGAACGCUGGCGGCAGGCCUAAUACAUGCAAGUCGAACGGAUCCUUCGGGAUUAGUGGCGGACGGGUGAGUAACACGUGGGAACGUGCCCUUUGGUUCAGAACAACUCAGGGAAACUUGAGCUAAUACUGGAUAAGCCCUUCGGGGGAAAGAUUUAUCGCCAUUGGAGCGGCCCGCGUCUGAUUAGCUAGUUGGUAGGGUAAAGGCCUACCAAGGCUACGAUCAGUAGCUGGUCUGAGAGGAUGAUCAGCCACACUGGGACUGAGACACGGCCCAGACUCCUACGGGAGGCAGCAGUAGGGAAUCUUGCGCAAUGGGCGAAAGCCUGACGCAGCCAUGCCGCGUGAAUGAUGAAGGUCUUAGGAUUGUAAAAUUCUUUCAGCGGGGACGAUAAUGACGGUACCCGCAGAAGAGCCCCGGCUAACUUCGUGCCAGCAGCCGC